UCCUGACAGUGGCAUACUGCUACUGACUUAACCCAGACAGGAGAUAGACAUG
rnacentral:ncRNA from 1 species